rnacentral:rRNA from 1 species
AACGCGAAGAACCUUACCCAGGCUCGAACGGCAUCUGACAUCCUACGAAAGUAGGCUCCCGCAAGGGCAGGUGUCGAGGUGCUGCAUGGCUGUCGUCAGCUCGUGUCGUGAGAUGUUGGGUUAAGUCCCGCAACGAGCGCAACCCUUGUCUUCUGUUGCCAUCAGGUUAUGCUGGGCACUCUGAAGAGACUGCCGGUGACAAACCGGAGGAAGGUGGGGAUGACGUCAAGUCAGCAUGGCCUUUAUGUCUGGGGCCACACACGUGCUACAAUGGCAGAUACAAACCGUCGCGAGACCGCAAGGUGGAGCUAAUCGGAUAAAGUCUGUCUCAGUUCGGAUUGUAGGCUGCAACUCGCCUGCAUGAAGUUGGAAUCGCUAGUAAUCGCGGAUCAGCACGCCGCGGUGAAUACGUUCCCGGGUC